rnacentral:tRNA from 1 species
GCCAGUGUGGUGUAGUGGUUAAGCAUGAUAGACUCGUAAUCUGGGGAACUGGGUUCACGUCUCCGCUCCUCCACAUGCGGCU